rnacentral:rRNA from 1 species
UGGGGAAUAUUGNNCAUUGNNGGGGAACCCUGACGCAGCCAUGCCGCGUGAAUGAAGAAGGCCUUAGGGUUGUAAAGUUCUUUCGGUAUUGAGGAAGGUUGAUGUGUUAAUAGCACAUCAAAUUGACGUUAAAUACAGAAGAAGCACCGGCUAACUCCGUGCCAGCAGCCGCGGUAAUACGGAGGGUGCGAGCGUUAAUCGGAAUAACUGGGCGUAAAGGGCACGCAGGCGGUUAUUUAAGUGAGGUGUGAAAGCCCCGGGCUUAACCUGGGAAUUGCAUUUCAGACUGGGUAACUAGAGUACUUUAGGGAGGGGUAGAAUUCCACGUGUAGCGGUGAAAUGCGUAGAGAUGUGGAGGAAUACCGAAGGCGAAGGCAGCCCCUUGGGAAUGUACUGACGCUCAUGUGCGAAAGCGUGGGGAGCAAACAGGAUUAGAUACCCUGGUAGUCCACGCUGUAAACGCUGUCGAUUUGGGGGUUGGGGUUUAACUCUGGCGCCCGUAGCUAACGUGAUAAAUCGACCGCCUGGGGAGUACGGCCGCAAGGUUUA